rnacentral:lncRNA from 1 species
UGUAAGACUGGCAGUGUACCUCUCUAGGAGAAAGAAACUCUUCCCACCCAGGGUGUGUAAAUCCAGGAGGCCAAUGCCUCUCUGAGUGCUGUUACUUCCUGUAGGGCCACCUUGCUCUAUUAGUGGAUGCCAAACUUAAUAAUUGCUUACAUCUGAGGAUUCUCCAACAGAGGUUCCUUGACAAGGCUUGCUGAAGAGCAUUGCAAACUGUUACAAGGGCACCAUUUCAUUCCUGUUCAGCAAUCAGUUUGAGCCACAGAAGCUGAUUUGUUUCAUUUAAUCUUUGAGAUCUGGCCCGGGUUU